rnacentral:lncRNA from 1 species
UUUUUCCUCUUCUUUAAGACCCUUUACAGCAGAACUAGUGGCUGGCAAUUUGGGAUACUCAAUAGAUUAGAAGAAGUUGGAAUGGCAGGUAGGAUUCUAUUGACCCAGUCAAUAGUUCCAACCAUAAUCUCAAAAAAUGUGUUUUGAAACACAAAAAAUAGAAGUGGAAAGUUUGUUAUUUGGUUUUGCAAGCAACUUUGAGAAAAAUUAUGUGACGGAGAGGCUGAUUGAUUCCGUGCAAGAAGGUUAUGGGCUUUGCCUCUCUCUCCCUGAGUGCUGCAUUUAUAGUUGAGCU